AUUGAACGCUGGCGGCAUGCCUUACACAUGCAAGUCGAACGGUAACAGGUCUUCGGAUGCUGACGAGUGGCGAACGGGUGAGUAAUACAUCGGAACGUGCCUAGUAGUGGGGGAUAACUACUCUAAAGAGUGGCUAAUACCGCAUGAGAUCUACGGAUGAAAGCAGGGGAUCGCAAGACCUUGUGCUACUAGAGCGGCCGAUGGCAGAUUAGGUAGUUGGUGGGAUAAAAGCUUACCAAGCCGACGAUCUGUAGCUGGUCUGAGAGGACGAUCAGCCACACUGGGACUGAGACACGGCCCAGACUCCUACGGGAGGCAGCAGUGGGGAAUUUUGGACAAUGGGCGCAAGCCUGAUCCAGCAAUGCCGCGUGCAGGAUGAAGGCCUUCGGGUUGUAAACUGCUUUUGUACGGAACGAAAAGCCCUGGGUUAAUACUCUGGGGUCAUGACGGUACCGUAAGAAUAAGCACCGGCUAACUACGUGCCAGCCGCCGCCGUAAUAC
rnacentral:rRNA from 1 species